rnacentral:rRNA from 1 species
CCCAGACUCCUACGGGAGGCAGCAGUGAGGAAUAUUGGUCAAUGGGCGGAAGCCUGAAUCAGCCAAGUCGCGUGAAGGAUGACGGCCCUACGGGUUGUAAACUUCUUUUGUCAGGGAGCAAUUGGGUCCACGUGUGGGCUUAGCGAGAGUACCUGAAGAAAAAGCAUCGGCUAACUACGUGCCAGCAGCCGCGGUAAUACGUAGGUGGCGAGCGUUAUCCGGAAUGAUUGGGCGUAAAGGGUGCGCAGGCGGUCCUGCAAGUCUGGAGUGAAACGCAUGAGCUCAACUCAUGCAUGGCUUUGGAAACUGGAGGACUGGAGAGCAGGAGAGGGCGGUGGAACUCCAUGUGUAGCGGUAAAAUGCGUAGAUAUAUGGAAGAACACCAGUGGCGAAGGCGGCCGCCUGGCCUGUUGCUGACGCUGAGGCACGAAAGCGUGGGGAGCAAAUAGGAUUAGAUACCCCUGUA